rnacentral:lncRNA from 1 species
AUGUGAGGAGGGGUUUUAUAUUAUAAGGGGUAUAAAAAGUGGUUGUGAGUAGAGGAGAGAGAAAAUGUUACUGUUCAUCUGUAUAUUUGGGGGGACACUGUUCACCCGUUAUAAUUUUUUAAUAUAUUUUGAAAGUGGUUGUGAGUGGAAGUUAGAGAAAAAUGCAAUGAUAAUAUUAUUUAAUUGAAAGGAGAGAGAAAAAGUAUUUGUUUUUAGUGGAAAUAUAUUGAUAUAGGAGUUGUUUUUUAGUGGAAUGUAUUAAACUCUGAAACAUAGUGUAACAUCCGCACACCACAUAACACCACCACCCACUUCAUGUUCUCUCAACAGUUCCGAGACGUGCAAUUCAAAUAAUUGCAGUCAAACACAUAAUGCAGUUGAUCAUCGUUCCCUAAGACCUGACUAAACAGACCUGUGCCAUUACAAGACUACCAGAAAAUAACCCACCCCGGCAUUACAAGGUUGCCGGAAAAUAACACACCCCACCUUUGACACCACCAUUGUUCGAAAUCACCACUGUUGAGUUUCUGUCGGAAGCAACUGACCACUGCCAAAGAAAGACGCGACCACCGUGAACCGUCACGAUGAGCCGCCGUGACCGCUAAGAGGCGGAUUUGAAACCAUAACCUCUGACCUUCUCAGCCUAACAAGAGAUUUCGAAUUCACUUACCUGCGAGUGGUUUUCUCCGAGCACGUGGUGAGUCACACGAAGAUAAUGGUGGUAGAAAGGUUUGGAAUGUUGGAGAUAAUGAAGAUGGUGAUUGUAAUCGUAGAGGAAGAUGGAUAGAGGGAUAU